UAUAUAAUGUUUUUUUUAUUUUUGUUCAGAUUAUCUGUAACUAAUAACUUUAUACCGCAUUUUUCAUUGUCUACAUUCUACAACAUGAUUAGUUCAAUUCAGCAAUUUGUUCUCAUGUUGGUUAUGAUGUUGAUCAUCGUUGCAACCUUCAUGACUGAAGUCGAAGGUUACAUAUACUGCAAUACAAUAUUUGAUUGUCCGGAUGGAUAUCGGUUCUGCAUUCACGGAAAAUGCUUGACUCAUUAAUAGGACAGAAUUGACAAAAUCGAGCAAUGAUGGCAAAAAGAGAAUUCUGAAUAAUGUUUAAAAUUUUGGAUAAAUAAUUUGAGAAUAAAUUUUCAUCGAAAACUCUUUGUGA